AAGCAGUUGGUAUAAUGCAGAGCACAUGGGUUGUUUCUUGCCUCCAAGACCCUUCAUGAACAUUUCCAGAUGGAUCCACAGUAUCUGUGAAACCAGCU